rnacentral:rRNA from 1 species
GACGAACGCUGGCGGCGUGCCUAAUACAUGCAAGUCGGACGCUGAAGGAGGAGCUUGCUUCUCUGGAUGAGUUGCGAACGGGUGAGUAACGCGUAGGUAACCUGCCUGGUAGCGGGGGAUAACUAUUGGAAACGAUAGCUAAUACCGCAUAAUAGUAGAUGUUGCAUGACAUUUGCUUAAAAGGUGCAAUUGCAUCACUACCAGAUGGACCUGCGUUGUAUUAGCUAGUUGGUGGGGUAACGGCUCACCAAGGCGACGAUACGUAGCCGACCUGAGAGGGGGAUCGGCGACACUGGAAGGUGACCACGGUCCAGACCCCGACGGGGGGCAGCAGGAGGGAAUCUUCGGCAAUGGGGGAAAGCCUUACGGAGCAACGCCGGGUGAGUGAGGAAGGUCUUGGGAUCGUAAAACGCUUUGAUUAGGGAAGAACAAAGGGGUAAGUAACGAUGCACGUCGUGACGGUACCGAAUCAGAAAGCCACGGCUAACUACGUG